rnacentral:rRNA from 1 species
AACGAACGCUGGCGGCAUGCCUAACACAUGCAAGUCGAACGAGAUCUUCGGGUCUAGUGGCGCACGGGUGCGUAACGCGUGGGAAUCUGCCCUUUGGUUCGGAAUAACAGUUGGAAACGACUGCUAAUACCGGAUGAUGACGAAAGUCCAAAGAUUUAUCGCCAGAGGAUGAGCCCGCGUAGGAUUAGCUAGUUGGUGUGGUAAAGGCGCACCAAGGCGACGAUCCUUAGCUGGUCUGAGAGGAUGAUCAGCCACACUGGGACUGAGACACGGCCCAGACGCCUUCGGNNGGCAGCAGUGGAGANUAUUGGACGAUGGGCGAAAGCCUGAUCCAGCAAUGCCGCGUGAGUGAUGAAGGCCUUAGGGUUGUAAAGCUCUUUUACCCGGGAUGAUAAUGACAGUACCGGGAGAAUAAGCUCCGGCUAACUCCGUGCCAGCAGCCGCGGUAA